rnacentral:rRNA from 1 species
UAGAAGCAAGACCGCGAGGUGGAGCAAAUCACAAAAUCUCGUCUCAGUUCAGAUUGCAGGCUGCAACCCGCCUGCAUGAAGGAGGAAUUGCUAGUAAUCGCGGAUCAGCAUGCCGCGGUGAAUACGUUCCCGGGCCUUGUACACACCGCCCGUCACACCAUGGGAGCCGGAAAUGCCCGAAGCCAGUGACCCAACCUUAGGGAGGGAGCUGUCGAAGGUGGAGCCGGUAACUGGGGUGAAGUCGUAACAAGGUAAC